rnacentral:lncRNA from 1 species
GAGCAUAGAACAAAGCAGAGAGUGGUGUCUGCUCUGCUGGCUUGACCACCAUGGUGCAACCAGCAGCUAAAGCCGGAGCCACUUUCAUGGCAAACAUAAUGCUUGGAAAAUUCCAAGGGAUGAUGUGGCCGACCACUCCAAUAGGUUCUUUAAGUGUGUAUCCGAACAAAGACGGACGUGUCAUUCGAAGUGUCUCGCCGUGGAUUUUAUCCGCCGCACCCGCAUAGUACCGGAAAUGUCCGGCUGCAGCCGGAAUGUCAUUCAUUUUUCCCACUUGGAACAAUUUUCCGCCGUCAACCGCAUCAAGAGCAGCCAAUUCUUCAAUAUUCUGCUGUAUUAAGUCUGUAUAUUUGUUGAUAAUCCUUGCCCUCUCCUGAUCCGAUUAAAAUCACCGAAGCAUACAAUUAUAAACGACCUUAUCAAAAUUAGUUUAUUACACAUAAAACUAAAUUUGUAUAUAUACAUGGAAAAUUAAAAUAUGAUCAUAAUUAAUAUGAAUCAAUCUAUUUAUCAUCAUUUAGUUUUAGGUUGAAAAUUCAUCUAAUUUAAUAAUACAAACAACCUUAUCAAAACAAGAUUGUUAUAAAAUAUAAGUAAACUUAGAUAGAGUUUUCUGAAUAUGGGUAAACGUUUUUCUUAAUAACAUGAAAAUGACUUCGUGACACUAACAGCAAAAAUAAGUCAAAUCUGGACUCGUUCCCUAUACUGUAAAAAAUACACGAAUCAGUAUGGAUAUAUACUAAGAUACAACCCUAAUAAAUACAUAUUUAUUAGUGACCCACUACGUAUGGGACCACAUCAAUCAAUAAAUAUCAAUUAUUUUUUAUUUUAUAUAUUAUUUAUCAAUAAUUUGCUAACCAAAUUAAAAACGGGUAGGUACAAUAAAAAACAUGAGGUGAGAAAGAUAGGAACGUACGAAGCCAGUCAUUCGAGGCCAAGGACCAUGAUCGAAGGCGUGACGUGCAGCGUUAACGGCCAAGUCAACGUCUUCUUUGUCUCCUGCUGCUAUUUUCGCGAUCACUUCACCGUUCCUUGGGUCUAUGGUUUCAAAGGUUUUACCUUUAAAGUUUAAACACAUUAAAACAAAAACUGAAUGAUCAAAUAUUAUGUUUCAGAAAAAGAUUAUGCCAAAUUAAAUCAACCAGUCGGUUCAAUAUUCAAUCACGAGUUUUUACAUCUUCGUUUACAUUGUUAAGAACAAUACUUUAGCAAUAAUAUUAGUAAAAAAAACUUCUAGAAAAGGUUGCACCAAAAAAAAAACUUCUAGAAAAGGAAGAAAAAUAUUAGAGAAGAAAAUUAUAAAUUUGGGCUGAGAAGAGAAAUAGUCAGGUGGGACCAUCAACCACUGGUGUUUGAUAGUAGAACAUGUUUCCAGUCAGGAUAGCUUUUGAUAUAGGUUGUCAGAAGAAAAAAUGUUUCUUCCAACAACUUAAUAGUCAUCCAAAUUAGCCACUGAACUUUUAGUUGUACAUAUUUUAGGGAUUGGUCUAGGCUCAUGAUUCGCAUCCAAUGAAACCAGAUCCGAAGGAUACCGAAACAAAACAUUGGUGUCAUCCCAAAAAUUGAAGUGUUUAACAUGCAUAUAUUACCUGGUUCUCAAAAUAUCAAAAAUAUCUGUGUGGAUUAUACGUAUCCUAAAUCAUAAUUGUUUCAAGUUUCAUAUAUUUCAGAACGAUCAAAACAUUUUCAAUCUUUUUGGGGAGACGUAAUUUGGUUAAAUGCACAGAGAAGAAUCUGAGGCAGGGAUUUAGAUAGUCAAAGCCAAAAUCAGAAAAUAGGAAGGAUCUUGAUACAUAUUUUCUUCUGUUAAUGUCAACGUUUUGGAAUUGUGAGAUUAAGUAGAUAAGUAGUGAAAUUUAAAAACCUGAAGCAGCAUCAAGAAACUGGCCGUUAAUGAAAAGCUUGGUGAAUUUGAUCUCCGGUAACUUCGCCGUCGCGCCUCCGUUGCAUUUACCGUUCUCCAUCUUUCUCCUUUUUUUCUCUCUCUCUCUCUGUUCAGAGGACAAUAGAAGGACAGAGAGGUUAUGUAUGUAUUUAUAUCCAAGCCUCCCGUUUCACACGUCAGCAAGGCAAGUGAUUCAACAAAGUUUCGGAGCAUCAAUAUCCCAAAAACCCAAAUGGAAUGCUUAUUAUUAUUAUAAUCUUUUUUUUAGUUUUUAAUUAAAAAUAAAAUAAAAACAGAACCAAUCGUAGACCGCCACGUAUCGUGAGGUCUGCAAAACAGUACAAGAUACACCCAACAAAGUUUCUUAUUCUACGACUAUAAAGCAUGGUUUUUUCAAUAAUCGUGGGCCCCACCACGUAAGAAACGCUCAGCAUACUACGAUGCAGAUGCUCUUAAGGGUGAGGUUUUUCACAAAAUAAUAGACCCCACACCUACAUACACAUAUACAAUAUAUACUUAUACACAUAUGAAUUUUUAGAAUUCCAAUGGGUAAAAGCCCAGUAGUCUAAUAUACUAAACUGAAAAAGAAGGGGGGGAGAUAAAUUUUGACUGACCUAUCGUCUUGUUGAUGCAGAUAAAUAUUUAGACAUUAUCUAGUGUUUUUUUUUUCAGCAGACAUUAUUUGCUUACAUUAUUAUUAAGAAUACCAAUGUAAUUCUACUUAAGACUUAUUUAUUAUUACAACCAAUAUUUUUAAAUUCGAUCCGGACACUGAACCGGAUAAUUUUAUGGGUCACCAGGUUAUUGAAUCGAUCGCCGGCAAACCGGGGUGUAAUAAACUGAGAAGGGGGGGGGGAGGUGUAAUAAAUUUUUACCGAGCUAUCGUCUUGUUGAUUCAGGUAAAUAUUUGGACAUUAUCUAGUGUUUUUUUUUUCCAGCAGACAUUAUCUGCUUACAUUAUUAUUAAGAAUACCAAUUUCAUUCUAAUUAAGACUUAUUUAUUAUUACAACCAAUAUUUUUAAACUCGACCCGGACACUGAACCGGAUAAUUUUAUGGGUCACUAGGUUAUUGGAUCGAUUGCUGGCAAACCAGGAAUUAAUUAAUUAAUUAAUUUUUAUAUAAUAAUAUAUUAGCGAUUAAAAAUAUAAUAUAUACUUUAUGUAUCAAACAAAGUUUACAAACUACUUAACUUUAAUUUAUUUUUUUUCAAUUUUAUUUGAUAUAAAAAUAUCAGAAAAUAAUUUAGACUAAGUAACAAUUUUUGUAACAAGUUAAGAGUUAUGGAAUUUGAUAAAAAUAUGAAGACUUAAAAUUCAUAAGUAUUUAAAACAUGAGUGAUAAAAUUAUACUUUAAAUCCAAAAUAAACCAAAAGUAAAACAUCAAAUUGUAAUAGAUUAUUGAUAACAAAAAUAAACUAAUACCAAAUUACAUGAACUAUUUUAUUUCUCUCUCUAUCAUUGUUAACUUCAUUUUCUUCAAGUGACAUAGUUAAAUGUUCAUUAAAAUCUAAAAAUCACAAAUAAAUAGUUUAAUUAGUAUUAUAUAUGAUAAAAACUAAAAACUUAAAUUCUUAAUUAGAAUACAAAACAGAUUCUAGUAACCUAAAUUAAAAAAAAUCUAAGAAUAUAAAGUAAAAAUUACCUACUAAUUCAACCACUGGUUAAAUCGGUAGUCGGAUUCCGGAUUUUAAUGGUUUUUUAUGGGUUUUAUUGGUUUUUUAUGGUUUUUUUAUAAAACUCAAACCAAAUUAUACAUCGGAUCAUCGAGUUUACCAGUUAGACCGCCGAUCCGGACCGGGUUUCAAAACACUGCUUACAACCAUUCAUGUAGGUUUUACCUCUCAUUUGCGUUUAACUGUUUAAAAAAAAUACUAGAACUAUUUUAAUUUUUUAAAGUUUCUUGAAAUCAUUUUUAAGACUCGUAUACAUAAACAUAUGUGGUUGAACAAAAAAAAAACUUAGGUGUUUCCAUGGGAGCGUCUCCAGUGAAAAAAGUAUAUCCAGUCUACACAUAAGAAUAUAAAAUAAUUAAUUUCCAUAGAUGCGUUAAAAAAAUAUGAAUCUUCUUUUAUUUUUUCAAUCAAAAUUGUCAUUGACUUUGAAUAUACUAAAUACUGAGACUCACUACAGUUCUGUAUACAUUGGUGUAAAUGUGAAAGAAAUAAAAAGAAAAUUCGAAAGUGACAGAAAAGUAAAAAUAACCUACAAUACAAUAAAAGGUGGCGGUUCUUCGGCUAAACCGGAGUUCGGUUUAGCCUGUGGGGUUGAUUCCGGGGAGUUUGUGUUUAUGAACACUAAGGUUUAUUUGGAGAAGAGUAAUGGUUUUGAUGAGAUGAUGGAUAGUCCUGGUGAUUCGGAGGAGGAUGAUGAGGAGGAGUAUGAGAGGAGGAGGAAGAAGGGGGAUGAUGCGGCGUCGUAUAAGCUUUUGGCGGAGUCGGUUGAGAGGUUUGGGAAGGUUUUUGAGAAGAUGGAGAGGAGUAAGAAGGAGCAGAUGAAGGAGUUGGAGAAGAUGAGAGGUGAGUUUCAGAGAGAUUUGGAGUUGCAGAAGAAACAGAUUGUGGAGAGAGCUCAGUCUGAGAUCGCUAGGCUACGUGAAGAAGAGGAGGAGAAUCAUCAUGAUGAUGGUGGUGGUGAGAGUGAAGAUGAGGGAAUGGAGAAUGAUUCUGAUGUCAAUCUCAGUGAUUGAAUAAUUUAAUAACUAGGUUUGUAUGUUUGUUUUAUUAGAUUCAAGAAAGAUUAUGUUUUGCAUUUUGGGUAAUUCACAACUGGUAAGUGUUUGUAACUUGUGUUUGAUGGUUACAAGUUUUAUUGAUAUGGAUUAGUAAGGAUUAUUGUAAUAGCCAUGACAAGUGUCUCAAAUCCAUGCAUUGUUUUAUUUCCUCGUCAAGACAUUUUUGGUCUGAGGAUGAAUGCUGCUUCAAGCCUCACCAAGGAGUAAGUCAUUUGGAACAGGCAAUUGAUCAUCAUCAGCUGCAACUGCAAGUGGAUUCUAAAAGUAUUGGGCCAUUUGUUUCGUGAUUUUGAUUUGUAUUUUUUUUUCAAGAAAAGUAACGGCCUGGCCAUGAUUCUAGGAGAGAAAUUUAAAGCAAUUGCAAAAGAUCUCUGGACAUCGAGGCAGCUAUGAUGUGAAUUCAGGCUGUUUAGUGGCCUAUUUCAGUAAGUAUUGUUCGAGCUUCAGUAUUCUCCACUCAUAUCUUGGUUAUGGUACAAGAUUAAUAAUUUAAAGUUAGGUACAUGUCAAAACCAUAUACCAAACCAAAUUCGUAUAGUUAUCAUUUACACAUUUAAUAGAAUCUAACGGGAACGGGAGGUGCGGAUGCUGGUGGAGUGAGAGAUAUACAUAGACAUUAGAAAUGUAGAUUUCUGAAAUAGCUAUAAGACUCCUUGACAUGCAAUUGGACACUAUAAUCAUUGUUAAACGGAGAUCCAGCUACACGUACUGAUAAAAUUUGUUGCAAAAAAAAAAAGAAGAAGCAAUUGUUGACAUCCUAAUCCGAAGAUCCUUACUGCUCGAAUAAGAUUUGCUAAAAAGGAGUGUACACGUUUGAACGAAAAAUCACUUGUACGAGACAAAUAAUAAACCUCUUUUGUUAACUAGUGUUUCAAAAAAUAACAAAACUCUUAUUGAUUUAGUAAAUGGACAAAAGAAAAACGUACUGUAAAAAAAAGAUCACACAUGCUUUUAUUAAUGAUUACGUUUGUAUUUUAACUAUGGACAAUUUGGCUACAUCCAAGGGGAGUUGUGAAGAGGCAUAGCAAUGGAUUUGACUUGAAGAUAGCUAUCGAGAGCGUCCAUGCCACUUUCACGACAAUUACCACUCAUCUUGUAGCCACCGUAAGGCGAGUCGAGGUCAAAUGCGAAGUAGCAGUUAACCCAAAUGACUCCAGCUUUGAUUGAUCUCGAAACCGUGUUGAUCACGUCAACGUUUUGGCUCACUAUUCCAGCUGCUAGACCGUAUUUCGUGUUGUUUGCGCAUUUGAUUCCUUCCUCCAUAGUCCUGUGGAAGCAAAUAUAUAUAGAGAUGUUUAGUGUUCUAUGGAAUGUGAUCAAGAAUGAGAAGAGAAAAUGGGGGAGUUUUCGUUUGCUUUACUUGAAUUUCAUCAAAGACAUAACUGGUCCAAAGAUUUCUUCUUUGUAUAUCUUCAUAUCGUCCUGUAACCAACAAAAAUAAAAACCCAUUAUUUAAAACAAACUUGUUACUAGGGACUUACGCGACAUUUCUGGUCCCGGUCCUAGUCCGAAGGAUUCAAGAAAUGUGUAAUAUUACCGUGACAUCUGCGAAUAUAGUUGGUUCGAUGUAGUAUCCUUUGUCUCCAAUAGCGUUCCCUCCAGUUAAUAACGUAGCUCCUUCGUUUUUGCCAUGCUCAAUGUAAGAGAGAACCUUCUCAUAUUGUUUUUUAUCCACCUGAAGACACCAAAAAAUAAUCAACUAAUAUAAUCUACUUAAAUCUACUCAUAAUCAAAGAUCAAUGAACUAGUCUAUUUUACUUGAGGUCCUUGUCGAGAAGUGGAAUCAAAAGGGUCACCAACGGGCCAGUCUUUAACCUUCUCCACCAUUUUCGCUACAACCUUAUCGUAUAUACCUUCUUGGACAAACACACGAGAGCUCGCCACGCAGAUCUCACCCUGCACAAUCCACCAAAUAUGUUUUACAUAACAAUGUCACAAUAUUGGUUGAUAUUUGGCCUCUAUGAUAUUAUACCUUGUUGUAGAAGCAACCUAGUAGCGCAAGUUCGGCGGCUUUGUUAACAUCUGCAUCAUCGAAAAUGAGAAGAGGCGAUUUUCCGCCUAAUUCAAGGGACACUUUUUUUAGAUUGCUUGUGGCUGCGGCUUGCAUUAUCUUCCUCCCAACAUCAGUUGAUCCCGUGAAACUAACCUGAGCACAAAAAAACAAAAGACAUGAAUUCACAUACAACUAACAAAAGCCCCAUUACUUGAUGAAUCCACAAACUAAUUAUCUCAUAAGACGAUAGUUAUUUUACUUUGUCAAUGUCCAUAUGGGAGGCAAUGGCAGCUCCAGCAGUUGAUCCAAAUCCAGUCACCACGUUGAUCACGCCAUCAGGAAAUCCCGCCUGUGAAUUUUCAACAAAAAUAAAUACAAUGUUUAGAUAGUUAAGCUUUAAUUUCUUCGAUUGCCUACACGUUUGGCAUUACUAUGAACAAGCUAUAGUUGUGUGUUUACUUUUAAAAUGAUACCAAAGCUUUUAGUGUUUUAUGUGUAUGGAUUGUUUCUUUGUUUAUGUGUAUGGAUUGUUUCUUUGUUUAUAUUUGUUUAUGUGUAUGGAUUGUUUCUUUGUUUAUGUUAUAUAGUAUUAAGAGUAAACGUAUACGUAACCACAAUAUACAAAUUACAAACAAACAAACAAACAAAGCGAUAUUUUAUAUGAUUUUAGAAAAUGUUUGUUUUAAAAAAUUAUGUAUAGAACAACCACGAUAUACAAACAAACAAAGAGAUAUUUCAUAUGAUACUAUUAUUUAGAAAAAGUUUGUUUUAAAAAAAUUAUGUAUAGAACAUACUUAAUAAAUAAAAAAUGAGAUAGAUAAACUUACUUCUUUCGAGAGAUGAGCAUAGAACAAAGCAGAGAGUGGUGUCUGCUCUGCUGGCUUGACCACCAUGGUGCAACCAGCAGCUAAAGCCGGAGCCACUUUCAUGGCAAACAUAAUGCUUGGAAAAUUCCAAGGGAUGAUGUGGCCGACCACUCCAAUAGGUUCUUUAAGUGUGUAUCCGAACAAAGACGGACGUGUCAUUCGAAGUGUCUCGCCGUGGAUUUUAUCCGCCGCACCCGCAUAGUACCGGAAAUGUCCGGCUGCAGCCGGAAUGUCAUUCAUUUUUCCCACCUGGAACAAUUUUCCGCCGUCAA